GAUUUAUGAAAGUAAAUUUCCCUUCGGGGCAGAGAGACAGGUGUUGCAUGGCUGUCGUCAGCUCGUGUCGUGAGAUGUUCGGUUAAGUCCGAAAACGAGCGCAACCCUUACCGUUAGUUACAAGUGUCUAACGGGACUGCCUGCGGCAAGCAGGAGGAAGGUGGGGAUGACGUCAAGUCAGCAUGACCUUUAUAUCUAGGGCUACACACACGCUACAAUGGCGCGUACAAUGGGUCGCGAAGCCGCGAGGCGGAGCCAAUCCUAAAAAGCGCGUCGUAGUUCGGAUUGCAGGCUGCAACUCGCCUGCAUGAAGCUGGAGUUGCUAGUAACCGCAGGUCAGCAUACUGCGGUGAAUACGUUCCCGGGCCUUGUACACACCGCCCGUCACGUCAUGGGAGCUGGUAAUGCCUGAAGUCGGGAAGCUAACCGCAAGGGGGCUACUGCCGAAGGCAGGAUUGGUGACUGGGACGAAGUCGUAACAAGGUAGCUGUAGCGGAAGC
rnacentral:rRNA from 1 species